UUUAUCUAUUUAUUUUAUGUAUAAGGUGUUUGUCUGCAUGUACAUCUACACCAGACUUUUCUCUUUAUUUUGAAGUCUGAAAGUCUGAGAUCAAGGUGUCAGCAGGUUGGUUCUUGCUGAGGCCACUUUCUGUUCCCUGUAUCCUCACAGGCUGCCCAUCUGGACACACACGUUUCUAGCAAUCUUUGUGUACCCCUGCCCUUUCUGUCUCGUGGAGAUACAUGUUGAAUUCAGACCCACUUAAUGACUGAACUUUACUCUUUACAGGACUGUAAACAGUCUGUCUGCAGCCCUGGCGGCAAGGGUUCCCUGUCAGAUGAGAAGCUGUGUAAUAGCCGCCUGAAUCAUUCCUCUAACCAAAUACCCAGCAGACACAACUUAGGAGUUGAGGAUUUAUUCUGGCUCAUGGUUUCAGGGGACACAACCCACAUGGCAGGGUGGUGGUGGUAGAAGUGGGCUGGUCUGUAGCAGUGGAGACACUCGACAGUGGCUUCUUGGGUCUCAGCAGAUCAGAAAGCAGAAAGCUCUGUCUGGACUGUAAAGUGGCUGCUGCCUCCAAGGCCCACCCCAGCCAAGUGCAGGCUCAGGCUAGUUCACUGUCACCAAUCUCCCCAAACAGUGCUGGCAGCUGGGGACCAGGUAUUCAAACGUGAGACCUGUGGGUGACCUUGCACAAGGCAAACUGUAACCGGGACAGGGGUCAUGGAUUCAACUCAACUGUGAUGGGGACCUGGACUCUCUCUCCAAGGGUGAGGUCAGAACACCUGCGGGAUGUUCUUAGCUAACAGUAUUACUUCUGAAAUGAAUGGCAGGUGCUUCUCCUUUGAAUGCACGUAAAAAUCUCUCCAGUGUCCACACAGAUGGCCCUUGGCUUCCUUCUUCACAUUCUCACCCAGACACACAGGAAGUACCAUGUGUCUGAAGAUUUCCACGUCACGGCCUGGGCACAGUCACUUUUUUUAAACUUUAAUUUUAUCCUCAAAGUAUGUAUAUUGAGGUGGGUUGCUGCACAUGGUUGCAGUUGCCCACAGAAGCCAGAAGAGGGCGUGAGAUCCUCUAGAACUGUUCAGAGGCUGUGACCUACUAGACAUGCGUGCUGGAGCUCUGGUCUUCUGUAAGAACAGUGCGUGCUCUCACAUCUUUCCAGCUCCUCCCGACCCCCAACCACAGCCUCUUGAUGGUCACCCUUCCUGCUUUCCUGAGGUGCUGUUCCCCCAAACAUCAGUCGCAUCUGGCUGGUCACACUGCGCAUGCUCGGCGGGCCAUGGGGCGUCUGUGAACACGUUGUGGACUGCCUGCUUCGUCCUUCCAGAGCCGCCUCCUCUGCUUCCGGCAUGUGGGAGCAGUCUGUCCUCUUGAUGGUGCUCCGGUGUGGUGGGUACUGCUUGGAGUUCCUAGUGUGCUUCCCCUCGUGGACACACCCUGAGUCCCUGACAGGUCUUCCUAGGCAGCUCACUCUGACCAUCUUAGCUGUCCUUGUGGUGCAGGUCACUUCCCAACAGCUCAGAACUCGGUCACUCACCUCUCUCUGUUGGAAUAGCAGCUGUGCCCAGGAAGUCAUCUUUGUGAUAACCAAGCUCCCAGCACCUAAACCCUCACCUGGUUCAUGAGUAAAUGUCACACUGAGAAAUAUCCUCCUGUGGCUCAAGCGAGUCCAAGGUGUCUCCUGAGGCUGAGCCCAGAGCUGAUGGGUCCUUGCCUCAUACCCAGGACACAUCCAGGAGAAACUGCCUGCCUGCCUGCCUGCCUGCCUGCCAGCAAGACUCUGAGAAGCGAUUCCCAGCUGGGGGUCGCCGUUACUCCCCCUGCCUCCCCCUCACAUCUACCACUUUCUCCUGUUGUUCACUCCCCUGCCCCCCAACACACACACACCCGCCGCCGUGGUUAAAGGCAGUGAUGCGACUGCUCCAUCUUUAGGGUUGGUUCAAUGCCCUGAUCAGAUUGGUCAGCAUACAGCAGAGACCUGGGAGCUUAGAAGCUGGGAGUCUUUUCUUCUCUCCUUUCCCCUCCUCCUUUCCCUCCUCCUCCUCCUCCUCUUCCUCUUCCUCUUCCUCUUCCUCUCUGCUUCCAGUCCAUCCCUUCAGUCUGAGGAAUAUUCCCGUGAGGAGCGCCGAGCAUCCGUGUGGUGUUUUAGUAAACCCUGGCUUUCCAUCUUCUCUCCUUCUGUCAUUAGUUCCAGUUUCCCCUGUUGCUGAAACAGGCCAACCCACAGCGCUCCCCUGGCACGCCUGGUCUUCCCUGUCUACAGGACAUUUUAGAAAGUUUUCACCUGAAACUGUUCUCCCAGCUCUCCCCCGGCCCCAUUCACGGGUGUUCUCUGCAGAAUGUGGCUCCUGGUUCUUUGCUGAGAUUCCAGUGUGCGUGCAUGCAUGUAAGAAGUGAGGGUGGUUGCAGGCCAUCAAUUAUCAGAUAGGUUCUGGAGUCUCCCUGUUUGUGCAAUCUUGAGCCAGUCGUUCUGUCAUCCAUAGAGUGGGACAAAAACUACACAGCCCUGAAGAUCUCCCUGAGACCAGCACCAGGUGGGGGGCAACAGAAAGUAUAUGCCACCUACUGCUGGGUGCUUUGUGGGCACCACCACACCCACUGCUCCCUGACUCCAGUCCCGAGUAGCCUGUCCCUGCUGCUUUUAUAAGCACUGCCUUGGGUUGCACCCCAGGGAAGGACAGGACUGGAUCCCGGCCAGCAGAGUGAGCUGCAGUGAUAUUUUAGCAUGGGCCCCAGACUGACUAUUCAUUCAGUCAUUCAGCCCUAAGCAAGAGUGGACUCACACUUUCCAUCGAGGCCGGGCCAGCCAGUUUCCGUAUCAGCCAGGCCUCAGGAAGGUAGAAGGACGCCUUGUCAGUCUUUCCAUUGCUGCCGGGCCUGCGUGCCAGCAGAGCUCGCUUGCUACAGGAAGUCGCAACUGUUGACCCUGCUGAACAGCCUCGCCUCUGUACACUCGAUGACAGAUAAGAUGGCUUGACUAACCCACUGGAGCAAAACGCCAGUCACCCUUCUCCUUGGUAGUCCUUGGCCACUUCUCUUUUAUUUUAAGAUGUCGAGGCAAUUCUGGUUAUCAACAUUUUGGGUCUGAGAGAACUGUGUGUGACAUUCUCCCCUGGGAGCCCUGACACCUGUGAUAUGUGAGUGUCUGACUCUGGCUGCUGCCAUCUGAUUCCUCUCAGCUAUCCUGGAGACAGGUUGGAAGAAAAGACAUGGAAAUUCCAGUGUUCAGGCUCACGGCAAACCAGCAGCCUACACAGGAGAAGCUCACGCAGCCGGGCCUGCCGGCCUCUGCUCGCCUCUUCUAAGCUCAGGGGUGUGGGUGCUCAGGUGUGUGGGUGCUCAGGGAUAUAGGUGCUCAGGGAUGUGGGAGCUCUUGAUCUGGUUGUAGAAAUGCACUGGAGGGAGGUGGCAGCCUGGACCCCUGGCUGGUUUCAUGUGCCCUUUGUUCUGUAAAGCAAGCAGGAGCUACCUGCAAGAGUGGGUAAUGCCCAAGGAACUGUGCUGCACUAGGGCAUCGUGACUGAGCUGGUCUGAGGGCUUGGUCAGUACACAUGUAGAGUCAUGUGUCGUGAGAAAUGGCUGUCUGUCAGAGCCACAUAAAGCGCUCAUUCAAAACUCAGAUGAUGUCAAACAUGUGCACUGCUUCUCAACCAUCGUGUGUGUGUGUGUGUGUGUGUGUGUGUGUGUGUGUGUGUGUAGACCUGUGUAUGUUCAUUUAGAGGUCAGAGGUCAGCCUCAGGUAUCGGUCCAUAGUUGCCAUUCACCUUUUGUGUUUCUGAACUGAUGUCUGUUGCUAACCUGUAACUUACAAGUCGUCUGGGCUGGCAGGCAGGUGAGCUCCAGCGAUCCACCUGGCUUUCCCCUUUGUGUGUGUGUGUGUGGGGGGGGGGCGGGGAAGUUCUGCAGGUCAAACUCCUACUCUCAAGGCAAGUAUUUUUAUCAACUGAGCACUCCCCCAGCCCAGCCAUGGAAUUCUUAACAGCCUCUCCACGUGGGUCCUAAACAGCAAGCCACACAUCUCCCCAGGGACCCACCGCUAAAAAGCAAAUCACGAAAUACAAUUGGUUAUUCUUUCUUAUUGGCUACUUAUUUAUUGUGACUUGAUGAGAAACCAGACCACUUCUGCUGACGCCAGAGCUCCUGCAAACUUGCUGCAGCCAAGGAGAUAUUUCUUCUCAGGUGAAGGUGUAGAAGGUUAGGGGUUCCCUCGCCACCCUCCCUCAGGAUGGAUUCUUUGUGGGGCCAUCUACAAAGCCUUCUCCUUCCUUUUGACCCAGUUCUCACAGAGAGACGCCACUGCGGUCAGAGCGGAUGCACUUGGCCUUGGAUCAAGGCUUCCCUUUCCAGCUGCAUCAGUGCUGACCGCGUGCGUGCCUGGGAGAUGAGAAGGUGUCCCUGGGAGACGAGAAGGUGUCCUUUGCUCUCCUUGGGCUCCUCCAGUACAGGUGAUUGCCAUUCAUAGCAAGAGUCCGACUACCCUGUGUCUGGUGAAGGCCGUCCUUGAUUUCCUACUAUACAGCCAGCUUGCGUGUCCAGGGGACAUACAGAGUAGGCCUGAGUCUUCCUUCCUUCUGCCCCGGCUCUUCCUGAAGGUCCCGGCUCAGUGCUCAAUCAGAUAGGUGAGAUUUAGUUUCUAGAUUGUGCCCAACCUCAGUUUCCAGUAACAUAAAGUCCAGUAUGACUUCAUUUGCUUAUUCAAAUUACCUAUUUUGGGCAUGUGUUGGGUGGGCAGUGGGGAGCGAGGGUGGGGGGGUGUCCUGAUGUGCAAGAGGGUGGCUGAUGCAAGGGGCAGGCAGGAUGCCACAGUUUGCAUUUCCAUAGCAGUUGUGUGUCUCCCAGGUCCUGGCAUGCUUUCCUUCAUGGUGGCUGCCCCCUGCACUCUGACCCUGAUGGCUCCCUGGGACACCAGACUGCUGUCCCUGCUGUCCCCUAGCAGCAGGCCUUUGUUUCUUAGACAUUUCAUGGGUAUUUCAGUUGCCUCUGGAGCCCAGCCUUUGGAGGGUCCCCAAUGCAGUACCGCUGGAAAGAGCAGCUCAAGUGAAGGGUGGCCCCAGUGUGAGCCUGAAGCACAUUCCUGGCAAAGACAGUGGCAAGCCCUGGCUUAUUUAGUCCCCGAAACCUUCAGCAAGUAGGUAGGGCCUGUGCGGGUCCAGGUAAACAAAUACACAAACCAAUGUGCUGGGCCAGCCAUGGCUCUGAGCAGGAGAGAGCAAGAGGGUGGGCCUCUCACACACACAAAUCACCAAUGAAGUGUGUCACGUGGUGCUUUGCCUCCUGUGGGACCUGCCAAUCUUGAGUGGCAUUUUUGUUUCUCUAAAUCCUUUUGUGUGCAUCCUGAGUUUUAUUGUAGUCUGAAUUUUGGCUUUUCCUCAGACUCCAGCCUUCAUGUUGUGCAUUCUGCAUUGGCUAAGAUCUGGGGCUGAACUGUCCACAUCACAGGAUCCUUUCAGCCUCCUAAACAAAUGUCUAAAUGUCAUGUCUUCUUCUUCCAUUGUGGGUUUGCUUUGGCCUUAAAGGGCCACAUUCACAUUAACACACACAGAGAGAAUGGAAAGUAAAUGACAUGAUUUCUCAAUAAUGUUUGUUUGGCUGUCAUUCUUUAUUUAGUUUUGUUGUUGUUAGUUGAGAAAGAGUCCCACUGUGUAGUCCAGGCUGGCCUCAAAUGUUCCAUGAUCCUCCAGUCUCAACCUACGUACUGGGAUUAUGGGGUGGACCACCAUGCUCCGCCCUUUUGAAAAUACCUGAAAGUGCAUAUGUCUGCCCCUGCUAUAUUUAAGACAUCUGCCUGAACAGUUCUCCAAUGAAUGUUAUUUGGGGAAAUGGGGGUGGGGAGGGCUUUCUUGUUUGACUGACAGAAGCCUGAGGCCAUAUCCCUGGCCGACCUCCUCCUAAUGCCUCUCUCCACAUUGUCUCUUGACAUCUCACCUCUCAGCUUCUUUAGUCCUGAACAGCUUUAAAAAGUGUUUUUCCGGCCUUCCUCUCCUUCAUCCCUUCUGUGGGAUUCCUGGGGAUGCUGGGCCUCCUGGAAAGGCGCUCUUCAUCCGUGACAUUAUGCUUUCUGUCCGUGUGCUUCUGCAACACUGUGAUCUUAGCCAUUUUCUAGCCAUUGGGAAAGCAGCGUGCUCUGCACCAGCUCUGACAGAAACCACAAGUAGGGAGGACUAAAGGGUGAAGUAGACCUUAGAGAAGCAGGGUACUAAGACAGGAGAGAAAAGGGGGGGCUCGCUGGGGAAGAGGAAGUAGCAGAAAGGGUUAGUGGGAACAAAGAGAGCUCUCUCUCUCUCUCUCUCUCUCUCUCUCUCUCUCUCUCUCUCGCUCUCUCUCAGAAGGAACAAGCAGUUUCUUCUUACAUACUGGAGAGAAGCAAGCUGGGAUCAGGAUGACGUGCCGAGUAGUACAAAGGUGGCCCUUGGUAGUCACAAUGUCGGGUUGAGGUCAUGUCCAGGCUGGUGCUGAGGGCGAUAAUUCAGUGAAGGGCUUGAGAAAACAGUCGCUGAUGGGAGCUUGACCCAGAGCUUGUGGACCCAUGUGGGGUCAUAGGAUGCAUUAGUAGUGGAGCCAGUCAGCCUGAUUCUAGUACUGAUUGAAGCAGCCAUGACCAAGGGCUUAGCUGAGGUUUGGCCCAGCCAUCAUGGUGAUGGAAUGUUGAUGAGGGGUUUCCAUCACUCAUGGUUACCAUAAGAGACUAGCUUAGGGAGCUCAGCUAUGUCCAAAUGUGUGACUUCAUCUCUCUGAGCCCUCCCCACUGCUCUGAAUCACCAUUUCCACACCACUGCUCACCCGAGGAAGAAAACAGGAGCAAGUGGAACCUGAAGUUGUGGUUCUCUGCUGAGCAUCUUCCCAUAUCCAUCCAAACAGCACAUCCAUGCAGACAGCACCCAGACAGCAUCUUCCCACAUCCAUGUGGACAGCAUCUUCCCAUAUAUACCCAACAGGACUCAGAGCCAGCUUCCACCUCUACUUAAACAGCAGCCUUGUGACUUCCCUCCAUGUCCAUUGCAAUAGCCAACAGUGCUCAGACGGCGUCUCCCCAUGUCUAUUCAUACAACAUUCAGGCAGUGUCUUCCCAAGUCCACCCAAACAACAAACAGAGGUCAGACGGCAUCUUUGAAUCCCAGGUAUAAAAACAAAUCCUCACCCAAGAAAAUAAUCUGUCUUGCAUUCAGAGCGUCUGCUGAUGUUUGUUGGGAAUUGGGAGCCAAUGAACACAAUGCAGUUGACCAAGCCGGAGGAAGCCUUACCUCGGUGGAUCGCUGUCUCGGUGGAUAGCAAAUAGGUCCACUGUACAGUUCUGAUAUUGCUCUGAAUGAGCCAUUUCUUUUCAAAUGAAUUCUUUACCAAAUCUUCACACACAAAUCCAGUGCUAUCCCACCAUGGAGCAGAAUCAGCCUUAAAGCCCCACAGUGAGUUGUAGCCACUGACCACUGCAUAGCAUGGCUCCUUAUUCUAUGGCUGAGGGCAUCAAGCCCAGAAGAAGUGUUGGAAUGACUUCCAUAUUUUUGCCCACAAGCAACAGCCCCCAGGACCAAUAAGCAUGUGGUUUAAUUCCGACUUCUGACAUUGCAGCUCCUCACUGAGACAAGAGGAAUAAUUUUAGGACGGAAUUUCGUUCAGGGCCUUGGUCCCUUGAGUUGUAUGAAGUUUCCUGGUCACAGGGGAGUUAGUAGCUGUGUUCUUGCCAUGUGGGUAGUUUCCGUGUCCCUUGGAUGAAAUGCAGGUGAGCUCUGCCUGUGUCCAGUCUACUGCAGUGACCGACAGUGGCCACCUCAGAGUAGCUCGGUGCGGCCAGCCCUCUGCAUCCACAGCUCUCAGGUCUGUGGGGUCAGCCAACGGCAGCUCACAGAGAUCAGAUAGAAGCUCAUAGCAUGUGCAGCUGUCUUAUAUAACCAUCUUCUAAUCAAUACAGUUCACUAACAAUCCGGAUCAUAGUGGCCUCCUAUUAGAUAUCAUAGGCGACGAUGUGUAUAGAUUCUGCAAGUGCUCUGCCUCGUUUGACAGCUGGGUGUCUGAGGGGUGCCUGGGACUAAUCCAUCUGGAUCCUAAAGGACAGCUACUGCUUCCCUGGUGACAGAGGAGGGCUUUGCUCACACUUAGAGGAUUACUGUCUUGGUUUCUUGGUUUCCAAUUAUGAUAGUGAUUAUUAAAUCAGGGUUUGGGUAGGCAUGAAGUAAAAGCAGUUUGCUGUAAUUUACCAAAUUAAGUAAAUUAACUUUAAUGAUGUGAUUUUUUUUAAAAGAUGUAUUUGUAUUCUCUAUCCAGUUCUAAUUUAAAGCUAAUUAAUUGGUAAUAUUAAGGAAAUUUAAUUUCCUUACAGUACUUUCAUGUUUUAACGGCAAUGCUUAUUUUUAAGAAGUAGAUAUGUUCAUUUUUAUAGGAUAUAUUUAACCAGUUUUUAAAUAGUAAUUUUUUUAAAUAGUAAUUCUGUUUUAAUUCUCAGAAUAAUUUAACAAGUCUAACAGGAAAGUAACAGUGUGGUGCGUUCAGAGGGGUCCUGAAUGUUUCUAAAGCACCCCUCCCCCAGGGCAGAUGCUCUCAGCUCCCCUCGCCACAGUCCAUGUCUGUGGGUCUUUGUUAAAGGUGCAGCAUGCAGUCUGUGGUCAGAGAAAGGGUCUGCUUCAAAACAGAUCCUCGAUACAGCACUGUGUAUGUCUUUCUAAACAAAGGUCUCUCUCUGCUAAACACCUACGCGUUAGUGAGCCUACUUAAAUUAUGUUCAAAGCAAGUUCCCCGAGCACUGUAUGAGAACCAUAGACAGGUGACAGCCACGUUCUCUUUUUGGUAUAAAAUUAUGUUGCUGGGUUUAUCAUAGACUGAUGCAUCAUGUUCUUAUCAAAACAUAAUAAACAAACAAAAAAACCUGCCACUGUUUUAUAGAAGUCAGUGGAUGCUGGCUUCCACUGUGGGAGGAGCCUUGGGGCAGGAAGGUGGGGGGUGCUGGCUCUGUCUUCCAGUGGUCAGACUUGAUCCCGAGUAGAGGCAAGAUACCCUAACUCAGUCUGUCAGGAUGUCAUUGUGGCCUCUUCUUACUAGACAUCUGCCUCACUAAUACCUCAAGCAAUGGAAGUUGCAUGCAAAAGCCAAGCAAUCUUGUCUUUCUUCAAGCAGAGGAAAGACUCUACUUAGGAGCACACGUCACGUAACACACCUAAGAACAGUCAAACCCUGAUUCUGCAAAUCAUCUCUGCUGCCAGCCAGGGACAUUUUCAGGAACAAUUUGUGAACAUCUCCCAUUCUUAAAAUCCUAGAGCUGUAGACUAGACCGUUCAGAAACAGCGGUGCCCAUGGAAGACAUCUCUUUUGAGUGCAGUGGCUGAGUUUGCUGACAUGGUAAUGGUCAUCUCCACUAAUUGGUGGUCCUCCCUCUCCAGCCAUUGUGGUGGGCCCUGAGGAAGUCCAGGGGAAACAUGUCCCUUGGAGUGAGUUCCUGAGCCAGCCAGCUUCCUUUUGAUGUCUCUUAUUUUCUUUAGCUCAUAUUUUUCCCUAUAACUUUUUUGGGGAGGGGGUCUAUAUAUUUAGGAAGGAAAGUGCUUUUUCUCUCUGUUUGGGGUCCAUUAGGGAGCUAAAGAGAUGGCUCGAUGCUUAAGAGCAAGUACCACUCUCAUACGGACCUGAAUUUGGUUCCCAGCACCACACUGGGUACCUCAAAACUGUAACUCAAGCUUCAGACCCAACGUGGUUUUCUGGCCACAGUGGGCACCGACAUGCAUGUGUGCACAAACAUGCACACACACACAGACAUGAACACAAUAUACAGACAGACACACAUGUACAUACACACAUACACAUAUACAGACAGACACACAUGUACAUACACACACACAUAACUAAAACAAAGAAUCUCCAAAAGAUCUCUGUGGUCUCACCCUGUCAGAAAGCUCUGCCAUUCAGGCCCAGGCUCAGGGCCUGCCUUCCCCACCCCCUAACACCAGACUGCACAGUUUCCUGGGAUAAGCAUGGAAUCCCCACCUGACUUGGUUCUCUUUCUCUCCCAGCCUCUUUCCCUCCCUGGAGACCCACAGAGGCCCCUUAGAGCUGUCUCAUCCCUGUUUCCAAACACUGGAUCCUAAGGAUUGAUGGGUCCAGGGCAAAGCCUCUUGGAUGUGGUUUCCUUUCUUAGACAGGAAUCCACACCUACCUUACAGCCAAGAUGAGAACUUUUCUUUUGUGCCCAAACACCUGGUGCAGCACACACUGAGCCUAAGCUCUCGGGUCCCUCCUCUCCUUUCCUGUGUCUCCAGGUGCCCUCCACCCCUCCCCACACCUGUGCACCCAGACGCUCUCAGCAGCAUCCCCAUUUAGUCUGUACUAGGCUUCCUUCCUCAGUGUGGGGCAGACAGAGAGGCCUCUGCUCCCAGCUCAGCCCAUUCUUCUAUCCUGUGGAUCAUGGUCCCAAGAGGGUGUCUGGUCUAGAACAUGGUAGUGUGUAUUGUACUGCUUCAGAUUACAGGAGGCCAAGAGGUGCUUAGUAUUGUGUUAAUUUAUUAUUAUUAUCAUUAUUAAUUAUUAUUUGGUGGUGAUGGUAGUGGUGUGGUGGUGGUAGCAGCAGCAGCAGCAGCAGUGGUGUUAUAAGUGUUUGCCUCAAUGAGUGUCUGGCCAAAAGAGGGUAUUGGAUUUCCUGGAAUGGAGUUCUGGAUGGUUGUAAGUCACUAUAUGGGCGUUUGGUGACCAAAGCCAGCUCCUCUACAAGAGCAAGUGCCUUCCUUAACUGCAGAGCCUUCUUUUCACACACACACACACACACACACACACACACACACACACCCCGCCCCGGAUUCAAUCAGUAAGAUAACUGUAAUGAAACCGCCUCUUGGAGCUGUUUCUCUGGCUCCUGCACAGCCAUUCUUCCCACAUCAGAAGCAUUCAUUAUUCCGGAAGCCUCUGAGCCCACUGCUCCGUGCUAGGCAGCUCUUUCCCACUGACACUGCGCGGCCCCAGUGCAGCUCCACGCGGUUAGAAGCUGAUCUGGAAACCUACUGGGAAGCUCUAACAGAAAGCAACCCUGGCGAAGCGAGACUUAGACGCCCUGGGCAUCUGCAUCCUGUGCCAGUGUUCCUGCCCAUCACAGGUGAGCACGCCUCCUCCCAGAAACAAGGCUCCUUUCUGCAUGGAGAGUUCCCGCAAGACAGUGACUUCACAGACCCUUCAGUCUCACAGCCGCAGCAGUUCCUCCAUAGCCGCCAGGAAACUGCCGGGUGCUGGCAAAGCCGGGCUCCAGGCUCCAGGCUGCACAACUUUCAAAGUUAACUGAAACCUUAAAGCACAUUUGAAAUCAACUUCCAACAGCCCAUCUAGUUGUAAGCAGAGCCAUUUGAUGGACAGUGGGCUAGGGGAACACUGUCCCCAGCACCAAGCACCUUCACCAGAUGCUCAGAGAAGCCUGGCCUCCAAGGGUGAGCUCUGAUCUCAUGGGGCUAAGGAGGAGGGGCCCUGCUACACUCAGUCAGUGAGGCUUGCUUUCCAGAUCUGUUGACCUUCCUUCUCGUGGGACAGGGCAUUCCUUCAGAGCCAGAGCUCCAGCCUUUUGGGGAGACUGCAGUGGAAACUGCUAGAAGUAUACUGCCCCACUGUGUGCCUGUUCUUCCACUUUCCACAGUCAGAGCCUGUGACACUGACUGAUCAGUCACUGGAGGGGCUAGGAAUGAAGAGCCAUGAAUGGAUAUAAGCAGCCAACAGGAGGCUUCCUGCCCUCGACUGUUUGCUCAUGUCAGCCGUGGGAGCACGAGGAAAGUUCUCACAGGCCCAUAUUGCUAGCACUUCUCCACUGUAAGUAAUAUUACAGAGAUCUGGCCAAGCACUGGCUUCCCCAGUCAGUUACAGGUGGAGGUUCAGAGUCUCCAGGCUGAUCUGAGUAACUAUGGUUACUGUGGAUGGAGGCUGCCCUUGCAGCCGGCCUUUGCAGCAUCACCUGUAUGCACUUUACUUUCUUACGUGAAUGAUCAGGGUUUCUCUUAUUUUAAAACAUUUUGUUUAUGUCUACACAAUUUCAAAUGUAAAAAAAUGCAUAGACUCACAGCAGCAUUCAGAGGGGUAGGGAGCCUGGGUCUGUAAAAUUUUGAGCUCAGAACCAUUCAGUAAAGAAAAAUGGUAUGAGUUCAUUUAGAAUGUUCUGUCGUCCUCCGUGUCCCUUUGCAAGCGGGGCUUGAGUCUCUCCAUUCCUGGGUGGCUGCAGCUGGUACCAUCAGGAGCUAGUAGUUGCUCUGUGUGUACACACACCAUGUGCACACAUGCUACAUAUACCACGCACACACCAUAUUCACACAUACUACAUAUACACCACAUACACACCAUACACAUACAUAAAUAUAUAUGUACAUAUAUACACACAUCUUACCUACACAUAUGCUAACACUCACACACCCACAGCACAUACACAUACAUUGCAUACAUAAACUUUGCAUAUGCAAGCCACACCUACAAACAUACAUACACCACAUACAAAUACUACAUACACAACAUACCCAUUUACAUGUACACAUGCAUAUACAUACCACACACAUAUAUGUAUGCACAUCAUACCUACAAAUACACAUUCAUUCAUACACACACCCUACACAUAUAUACACACACAUAUACAUACACACCGCAUAUACACCAGACAUACAUAUAAACAUCACACAUAUCACACUACAUAUAUACACACCAUACAAACAUGCGCUGAGAAGGGAGAGGAAAGGGAACAGGGAGAUUGUAGACUGGAACUAGGAAUGCACUUUAAAAGCCCUUUACCCAGAAGUCGUUUGGCACUGACACCCUGCUGGCCCCACCCCAGUGGUGGCUCAGUGUCUGUGCUAUGACAGAACAGCCUCCUCAGCCCCCACGCAGCCACCUCAUCUUUACUAGCUUCUCAAACCGUGCUUCUGUGUCCUCAGCCAGCAGUGCCCCCUGUCCUCUGUGGUGUUACCUGGUACAUUCCAGUAUGAUGGCCAGCGUGAUGAGCAGCGUCAGCAGUGCAAGAUAUGGGGAAGGAAAGGCCCCACCCCGGAAGGGGGUGGGGGAAACAUAUCUCACAUAGAGCUCAGUCAAGUGUAUAUACACAGUCAUUAUUAAGAGACACCAGAAGCCUUGUAAAUCAAAAGGUGUAUCACCUCUUGUUGCUGGGUUUCUGUUUAGUUGGGUUCUUGGCUUUGUUUUGAGAUAGAUUCUUACUCUGUAUACAGACAAGGCUGCCCUUGACCUUGCAAUUCCCCUGCCUUUUCCUCCCGCAUGAUUGGAUUAGAUUACAGGUCUGUGUUGCCCAAUCCAGUAAAGCACGCUCCUUCCCUUACUGUCCUGUGGACCAGUUGGCCUAGUUUCCUUAUGUUGCUGUGGUAGAACACUGGGAGCAAAAGCAACUUAGUUUCACCUCACAACUCCCAGGCCACAGUCCAUAACUGAGCUCAAGAGAGAAACCCAGAGGCAGGAACUGUGGAGGGAUGCUGCUUGCUGGCGAACUCUGGCUCACCUUCUGGCUUGCUCAUGCUCCUCUCAAUUCCUUACACAGUUCAGGCCCCUUGCCUAGGGAUGACGCCGCCCAUAGUGGCCUGGGCCUAAUGCCUUGUUAACAAUCAGCACCCUCCCUCACAGACACACCCACACACCUAAAUGAUCAUCAAACUACUGGUGAUUCUAGGCUAUGUCAAGUUGACAAUUAAUGGUGACCAGGGUACUAGUCACAAGUAUUUGUUUCAAGUUGCAAAUUAUGCAGAGUACAUAAAAGGUCACUUAAUUCACCCAAUGCUGCCUUUCUAACGGGACAGAAUAAGGAGCCGUAAGAGGUUCUAGGUCUGUCGGAUGGUAGCAGCCCUUUCUUACACUGGCAAUGCUCUCUGAUCUGUGGGACAAUAAAUGGUUCAGAGUUAUCCACACCCAGGUCUGUAAGAAGCCAUCUAAGGACAUCUGUUCCGCCAUGGCUGUGCUACUGUGACAUGCCGCCGUUAUCCACUAUUAAGCCUUCUCGUUGUCCAGCAUCGUGUUGAGGACAAUAGCCCUACUUAGGAUACAGGGUGUGUGGGAGGUGUUGCUGCUAAGAGCACAUGCUUCCCUAGAGCAUCUGUAACUGGGAUUUCCUCCUGUGUGCAAGGCUCCGUGUGCAAGGUUCCCAUGUGCUGGGCUCCCACGUGCUGAGCUUCCACAUGUUGGGCCCCCCUAGGAACUAUAGGAAUACUUGUCAUGUAUCACCCACACUGACUGAAGGAAUGUUUAUUGGAGAUAGUGGGACACAGAGUUCAGCUGUCCAUCAUGGUCCCCAUGGGCUCUGCUCUGUCAUGGCCUGGGUGUCAGACUCAAGAGGUGCUCCAAUCUUGUAUAUGACACCCAACACUGCCCUGCGUACCUCAAGGCAUCUCUAGACUUCGUAGUAACUGCUGCCGUGGAAGAGCGUGCACACAAUCGCUGCACUGUGCUCUGUGCGUGUGUGUGCCGCUUCCUUUCUGAAUUUGUUCCGUGCAGUCUGUGAUUCGUGUGGCUGUACCCAUGGAUACAGAUGGGCAGCUAGAUUCUGAUUUCCAGAAGUAUAAAGACAUAGCAAUGAUAUCACUAAAGGUGUCCCUUUGUUGACAUUUAGACAAACUCUACCCUAAGGGUCCAUCCUAGAGAAAGGCGGAGUGGAGUGACUGCUGUCCACACUCCCAUGGGAGUCACAGAGCACUCCGCAGGCUUUCAGAUGCUUUGCUCAGAUGACCUCACAGAAAGGUUGAGGCAGAUGGGGAGUGCCCCACCUCAGCCAGCACAGCUACACGGGUGUGCACAGAGUGAUAAACGACCUGGAAUUUCUCGCUCCACCCGUUUGCUUGCAAAGAUCAGAAUCUCUUAAUGAGUGCGGUAAUGCAUGGAAAGGACCUUGCCGGCUUCAGCGUGUAGGCUGAGUGUUACUUGGACAUGUUGUCAGACAGAGCCUGCCUCACAAGCUGGAAAAUGUGAGCUACGUUCAAAAGAAUGUCAGGCCCUUGUAUGGGACCCGCUUCCGAGCAUUGUGACUGACUUAACCCACUUGGAGCAAAGAUAUGUCAGCGUAGUUUUUAAACUAUUGCCAGAGGGGCACUUUAGUCCCUGAUAAAUGAGUUCUUUAUCUUUUACCUUCGUCCCACCCACGAAAACUGAAAAGAGCCUUUUACUGGUGUCUACUGAGACUCCUCACCCAGGCACACUGUCUGGAGAAUUCUCCAGUAUUAGACCAGUGUCCCGGAUAAAGAGAGUUUGGCGAGGGCUCUUGCUGCCGGCAUCCUGGCUGAGAAUCAAACACUACUGUAAACCUCCUGACACCACCCACUGGCGGAGCGUGCUUUCUCCCACUUGUUGCCCUAAUUCAACCUCCUUGUGCUUCUCCAGCCGCUCCUGGGAUGUGCGCUACCCACUUCUGCCUUCCACAGUUCCCAGUGGCCUUGACAGGAACUCCAUGCAGCCACACUGAUAGAAGUUUACGCCCCUUCUUACCGUCAGAUUACAUGCAGCUUAUUUCUGGUGUUCGGGUGAAACAUCUUUACAGCUCUCCGCUGUCGGCUUCCUUCCCACACUUGGUCCGGUUGGCAAGGCUGACUAACUGGGUGAUGGCUUUCAGUAGCAUUCUGUGGAGUCCUUGAACUCUGAGCAUCAGGGCUGAAGGAGUCUUGGUCAUCAGCUUAGAGUCAAACAGGACUGAGGUGUGGGGGUCAGGACAUCAGGUACCACACAGCCUGUCACAGCCAGAGCCAGGGCACAAACCAGAACUUCAGACUCCCAAGUGCCACCACGAUUCUAUUGAGAACCAGGAUAAAAUGUUGUUCCCAUCUGAAAUCCUUUAGAAAAAAAUCAUCACUGUGGAGAGUGGGUUUGCUGAAGAGCUAAGUGAAGGUCACGUGCUGUGUGUGCUAUGGACAGAGUCCUACAGGUUUGACUCUUGGGGCAUCCGUGUAGGACACGCGCUCCAACCCUCCCUCCUAUGUAUAGGUCAAAUGUCACUCUUUUUAAAGGGGUAAAUUAUUACAUUUACUGUCUGGGACAGACAGCACACACUCAUGUGGAGCCCAGAGGACACCUGUGGGUGCUGAUGUUCCCUGUACCGGGUGCCGGCCUCUGGGGGCCAACUCAGGUUGGAAGUCAGGCUUGCUGCUUGUUGGCGAGAGCCUUUGCCCAUCUGAGCCGUCUCAACAACCAGUCAUGUGUGCUCUCCAUGGCUCCUCGGCCACCACAGGCUUCAGCCACAGGCUCUUCUACAGGUGGAGGUCGGUCUUCCAGGGAUCCGGUGCCUCAGCGUGCGGCCGGCCUUUCUGGAGAAGGUGGCUGAGCUGGAAACCCUUCCCAUCCUGCUCUUCUUUUGCCUUUGUUUCCCUUGUGUGGGUUCCCUCCCUCCCCACCCCUGCGUGUUUGAGGCAGGGUCUUACUAUACAUUCCAAGCUACGCUCAAAUCUUCAGUGUGCCUGCCUGAGUCAGAGUGCUAGCGAUUGUGCCCAGAAAACUAUUAUUUCUGUGUUGUUGUUUUGGUUUGUUUUUUGUUUUUUUGUUUUUUGUUUUUUGUUUUUUUUUUUUGUUUGUUUUUGCAGUUUGGGGAAUUAAACGCAGACCCUUGUGCUGAUCAGCAAGUUUUCUAACCACUAGGCUAAGUCCCCUGCUUUCUCUCACAGCAGUUAUUUAGCUGAGAGCUCCUCGGCAGGGUAGCAUGGUGCCUGUCUAUAGAACUGCAGAGAUGCUCGGCUGAAGCAGCCUUCUCCCUACAGUUCCCUCCCCUGCAGAUUCCUUUUGCACAGCAGCCAGGCGUGGGGUGGGCCUCUUCAGUGUGGAACCCGCCGGCUUUUUCUGGCAGUGAUGCCUGGGACCAUGGGCACUGCCUUAAGAGCUUGAACUUGUCAGCAUAGUUUGUCCCGGGGUUGAUAGAUUCUUCCUCACUAUUUGAAGAAUGUGUGUCAAGCUGGUUACAGUUUCAUUGUUAAGUUGCUUUAAAUCCUAAUUAAGGGUGAGGCAUCCAGGAGACCUAAGCAACGCACAUUUGUUUGAAAAAAAAAAAAAACAAAAGACAAAAACCCUGCCUGUCUCAGAAUGCUGUGGGAGUGAACAGAGAGUGGCCUCAGUACCUGGCAGGUGCUGUGAGCGGUCCCUUAGUGGGUGCCCACCUUAAUACCUGGCAGGUGGAGUGAGCUGUCCCACCACUGUUGCUGCACACUGCUCGGUGCCCAAGGUCACCUGUGGGCAGUGAGCACCAGCUUUCUCAUUGUUCAAGUAUGCUGCGUGUGGAACUUGUUCCCGUGGUCACUAUUUUUACAACUUACCUCAAAAUCAAAAAAUGCUACCUCAAUGAUACUUGUGAAUGUAUGUCAUCGGGUUUACCGUCUUCCCCAUAUUGGCAGCAGCUCUCCGGCAUCAAAGCUGCCUGCUGGGCAGCAGGACUUUGGGCCAUGUCUCCUGCCCUACCGAGCAAGCACAUCAUCUGCAGCUGGGUCUCCUGGGUGGAGACUUCCAGGCUUCUUGGGUUGCCACGGGAACAGGGAGGUAGUGGUUUUGAAA